rnacentral:lncRNA from 1 species
AUCCCCGAGACUGAUACCUGCUUCUGUAUUGGUCCUAUGAGCUCACUAUUCACCAGUCAGUAAAAGAGGACGGGCUUCAAGGAUAAGAGAUAGUACUCUAAGAGACCCAGAGAAGUGGAUAUUUUCCCUACAAAAUGAUGAAUACAGGACACUAGCUAUCUUGUGGAAUACUCAGAUAUGUGUCUAAGAUGGAAAUCUCAGAAGCAUUUGGAAUGUGUGUGUGUGGGCCAAGUGUCCAGAAAAGAGCUUUGACAUCCCUGUCUUCCUGUGGCACCUUCCAUUCCAAGAUUCCUGGGGACAACCUGGCUUAAUGGAUACGAAGAAGUACACCAACGAAAGACAAGGACCAGCACAUCUGCAGGCAGAGAUAAUGCAAAGGCUCCUGCUUUGAAGAAAGACCUUGCGGAUUUGGGCAAGAAUAAGGAUGAAGAACUCUACCAUGAUGUUUCCCUAGUGCUACUCUCUAUAAAGCUUUUAAAAAACAUUCUGAGGGCUAUGGGACAUUCUACUAUGUCACGGAUGCCAUCUCUGGAGCAGCCUGUGGGAAGAACAGCCCUGGCUCAACCAAGUCGGUGAUACCUUUUUUUGAUGGGACUGUGACUGACUCCUGCAGGUCAGAAUUCUCAGCCAUCUGUGGGGUCUAUUUCACAGUUAUCCUUCUGAUAAUCAAGCCCCAACAGGUUGCAUCUCACUUAUGAAGAGCUGACAAUUGGUAGUGGCUCCCUGGAGCACACUGGUAAGAAGCAUUCUUGGGUCCUGUCUACACUCGGAGAGAAAGAGAGCUCUUCUAUUCACACGAUGAAAGUGAGAGGAGGAAGCAGGACCACACUAUUAUGUAUUUACCUUCUGUGCAUGAGGUGUCCUUCCCUCUAAGUCCUGCAGAGAGACUAAUCAGAGCCAACUCUCUGUUGGAUUAUCCUUUUGGUAAAGGGCAAAUUUUUCCAUCUCUGUCUUUUCCUUGGCUUCCCUGGGUAUCCCACGGGCCAUUUCCCUUGCUAUCAAUUGCUAUUGCCUGCAGCAUUGGAAAUAAAUGAAGGCUUUUUAUCUCUCAUUUGCCAUGUCCUUCUUCACUGUGCCAUAUUCACUAUUUAAGAGGGAGAAUCAUUCCCUGGGCCAGCCAAUAGCUUCUGUGGGGAGAGAGUGCCCAGGAAAAGUCCUGUUCUCUUGUGGCACGUGAAGGGAGAAGCAGACGGCAGUACUAGGACCCAAAAGCCCUGAAUUCUAAUCCUAGCUAUGAUUCAAACCUACUUACAUGACCUUGAGUAAAUUUGUCUUUACCUUCCCAGUGAGCAAUUUGCACUUGGCAAUCCAGGGCUCUCACUCCAGAGUCCCACUAUAUAGAACAGUGAUCCUGUCCCAAGACUUUAAGAGUUUAUAGCACCGAGUGCAUGCUGCUUGAAUUCUCCCAUUGCCCAGCAAGAAGAGAAAGGAAGGCAUGUUUCUCUAUUGGAGGGUAACAGAAUGUCUUGGUUUAAUGUGUGCAACUCAUCGGAGCCUGGAGGUCCACGUCCAGAUGCCAACUUGAAAUCCAGUUAUUAUUGCAUCUGGAGAGAGAGGAGUGCUGAAAACAGCCUU